CCUACGGGAGGCAGCAGUGAGGAAUAUUGGGCAAUGCCCGAAAGGGUGACCCAGCAACGCCGCGUGGAGGAUGAAGUCCUUCUGGACGUAAGCUCCUUUUAGAGGGGACGAAAAGCCCGAUUUGUCGGGAAUUGACGGUACCCUCAGAAAAAGCACCGGCUAACUACGUGCCAGCAGCCGCGGUAAUACGUAGGGUGCAAGCGUUGUCCGGAUUCACUGGGUGUAAAGGGUGCGCAGGCGGGCUCUUAAGUCAAAGGUAAAAUCUCCCGGCUUAACCAAGAAAUGGCCUUUGAUACUGGGGGCCUGAAGUACGGGAGAGGGAGAUGAAAUUCCAGGUGUAGGGGUGAAAUGCGUAGAUAUCGGGAGGAACACCGGAGGCGAAGGCGGUCUCCUGGCCCGUUACUGACGCUCAGGCACGAAAGCGUGGGGAGCAAACAGGAUUAGAUCCCCCGGUAGU
rnacentral:rRNA from 1 species